AUUGAACGCUGGCGGCAGGCUUAACACAUGCAAGUCGAGCGGAGAUGAGGUGCUUGCACCUUAUCUUAGCGGCGGACGGGUGAGUAAUGCUUAGGAAUCUGCCUAUUAGUGGGGGACAACAUUCCGAAAGGAAUGCUAAUACCGCAUACGCCCUACGGGGGAAAGCAGGGGAUCUUCGGAACUUGCGCUAAUAGAUGAGCCUACGUCGGAUUAGCUAGUUGGUGGGGUAAAGGCCUACCAAGGCGACGAUCUGUAGCGGGUCUGAGAGGAUGGACCGCCACAAGGGGACGUGGACACGGCCCAGACUCCUACGGGAGGCAGCAGUGGGAAAUAUUGGACAAUGGGCUGAAGCCUGAUGCAGCCAUUCCGCGUGUGUGAAGAAGGCCUUUUGGUUGUAAAGCACUUUAAGCGAGGAGGAGGCUACCUGGAUUAAUACUCUAGGAUAGUGGACGUUACUCGCAGAAUAAGCACCGGCUAACUCUGUGCCAGCUGCCGCGGUAAAAC
rnacentral:rRNA from 1 species